GGGACUGAGCUGCAGUUUUGGAGGAGCUGACGCGGAGCCCAGCUGUCUUGGAGCCCAGCCCCAGGCGAGGGUGGUGGGACACCCAGCCGUGCCCCACCCGCGGUGGCUUUUAUGUAGUCUUCUUAGGUGUUUUCCUAAUAACCUGUGGGCUCCUACGAAGCUCGCUGGCAUCACGCUUGUGGCUGAACUGGAUCUGGGAUUUGCCAGGGCUUUAGCGUCUGAUUGAUGCCUGGUAGAGUGGACACAGACAGAAGGUUGGUCUCCUUAGGACUUUUCGGAGCUUCAGCUUCUGGACAGCACAGGCCUGUCCAGGCAGACAGGAGCCCAGCUGCUUCAGGACCUGCUGGGAGGUGCCACCGCUGGAGUAAAAGCAUGCUGCCAUAUCUUAGCAGCUCUCUGGAGAAGCCCACAUGGAAAGGAACUGAGAUAUCGUGACAUCAGCUACAUGAAUGAAGCUGAAGGUGGAUCCUUCAGCCGCUCUCAAGCCUUCAGGUGACUGCGCUAUAGCUGUCUUGCAGAUACUGAAACCCUGACCAGAUGGAAGAGGUUAACUACAUGUUGCCCAUAAGCAUGUAGACCCCAGACCAGUUGGAACCAGAAGGCUGAUGACACUAACUCCCAAUUACCUCACCACCAACCAAUAAGAAGAAUGUCUACUAGCUGAUGACACUCUGCUCCGUGAACACUAUAAGACUCCUUACCAACCCCUCCAAAGCAGGACACAGUUUUGAGGGCACUAGCCUACUAUGACCCCCUUGCCUGGCAAAGCAAUAGAGCUACUCAUUUCUUCUCUCUCAAAACUCUUGUCUCCAUGAUUUAAUUCAAGCUGGUGUACAGAGGCUGAAUUUUGGCCAACAGUGGCAACAUUUUGCAGAACUGGACUAUGAGGAUUGGGGUUCCAUCCCUGGCCCCACUCAGUGGUUAAGGAUCCUACAUUGCCAUGACCGGUGGUGUAGGUUGCAGAUUCUCCUACAUUGCAUGGG